rnacentral:lncRNA from 1 species
AGUUAACAGUCGGGAGGGUAAAACACAAUCAUGGUGCCAUAAAAGAGUGAAGGAGCCGGCAUUACACACAGACAGCCCGCAGAAGGGCAGCAACGUUUUGGAGCUCCUUUUAGUUCUCUUUAUUGAUAUAUUUUAAUUGAACCCAGAUUUUUUUUUUCCUGUCUAGCCCUUGGAGACAAGCUCUGCCAGAGCUCGUAUAGCAGAGAGAAGGUCUUGAGAUUAGUGAUACUCAGCGUUUCUGACACUGGAGACCUGCAUAAGAAUUUAACAAACUGGGAAGCAGUUUUCAUGACAACCCUUUUCAUUGCAUAGAUGUUACCAAGAGUUUGGGGGUGUUUUUAAGAAAAGCCAUUAGGCUGGAAGUCAGACACACCUGGAUUUGAGAUCCGCUCUGCUACUUCGUACUUGCGUGGUUUUGAGGAAUCAUUUGGCCUCUUUUCAGGUUUUAGAUCCUUCACCUGUAAAAUGAGGAUGGUUGUGAGAAAGGGAAAUUGCUCUGUAAACAGUGAAGCACUAUUCAAAUGCUCAGGCUUUGUAAAAAAUUGAUGGAAAAUGUCAUAAGAAGUGGGCAGUUCUGGUUUGCUUCCAUUGCUAUAGGAAGCUGGCACACACAAGAAAGUUUAUUGACAGCAGCUGAGAUGUGCUGAAGCUGGUAAUUAUCUUCAAGACAGGCUGAGUUUUGAUUGUACGUAAGGGUGCCUGGUAGACCUAUCAAUCAGACAUAUGCCUUGAUGUAAUGCUGACAGUCUAUUUACACAGAGGCAGCUGUGAUAUUAUAAAAGAAUGAAAGGCAUGCUGAAGGUCUAAGUUGUUGUAGGAUGGUAAAAAUCUGGUGUGAACAUGAGCGAAAGAGUUUCUGAAUUUUCAUUAUGAUCCAGCAUUUUAGAGAUGUAUGAAAACUUAGCAAUGAUUGAAUUCAACCCCUUCUCCGCAUGGAUAAGGACACUGACACCCAUUAAUGUCUGAGUGGUUAUUAAUGCAGAGAGAAAAAGUCACUGUUACCUGUCUUUUAUGAAUGUGCUAACUCAUUAAUCUAUAAACAACACUUCUUCUAAUAUUUAGCAUUUAACAAUUCCAAAUAUUUAUUCACUAUUUACACAUAAUCAGCAAAAGCACAAAACUUCGCAUUAAAUCUCCCCAGACAUUUAAGCAUUCAUUACAAAUUUGUAAUCAAGCUCUUAGAUAAACAAAUAAUUAAAACUAUGAAUCUAAUAAAUCAGAUUUGUUGGCAUGCUCUAAACACCUUAAGAAGUGACAAUACAUGCACAGAAUGUCACUUUGAUUACCGAAAUUAUUAUACUAUGGGGAAAUGGCUUGCUGAGACCCUGAAGAGCCAGAGAGAAGAUACUGCUCACACAUGUGAAGGAUACACACUCUGUUUUCUCCUCCUUCUGUAUGAGAGAGCCUGCUGAUGUUUUGUGACUCAAAAAGUACGAGGAGGUCUAUGAGCAUAUUUUCAAUUAAGCGCAUGAGUUGUCGGCAUAAAUUCUUUCUGAAAUGAUGAUACAAUUCCAUAGCAAAACCAGGUUAUAGUAUAGUGGAAAUGAGUACCUUAGCUCUGUUAGCCUCCUACUCCAAGGACUGUAUUUCUGAAGGGAGCACACUUGUUUUGGGAAUUCUGGGAGCCAAGGGCUGGCUGCACUGUGAAUGUGUUUUGCUGCUCCAGCUUCUUAUGGCCCCAGAUUUCUGAUCAUAUUCUGCAUCCUUGGCUAAUUCUCUCAGGAAUUUUACAGUGAAAAGGAGAACAAGAGUGAGAACACAAGAAUAAGAUCAAGAAAGGUCUCUUCUCACCAGUGCUAUAAUCCACCUGAAAAGCUGUAGCCACUUGCACUACUAAAACCAGUCAUAAAAGUGCUAAUACAGUACACUAUGAAUUUAAA